rnacentral:rRNA from 1 species
CGAAGGGCUAGCGUUGUUCGGAAUUACUGGGCGUAAAGGCGCGUAGGCGGUCUUUUCAAGUCAGGCGUGAAACUCCCCGGGCUUAACCUGGGAACUGCGCUUGAGACUGGAAGGCUUGAGUUCGGGAGAGGUGAGUGGAAUUCCCAGUGUAGAGGUGAAAUUCGUAGAUAUUGGGAAGAACACCAGCGGCGAAGGCGGCUCACUGGACCGAUACUGACGCUGAGGCGCGAAAGCGUGGGAAGCAAAACAGGAUU